UCCGGUUUAACACCGGCAGUCUCCUUAGAGUCCCCAACUUAAUGCUGGUAACUAAGAAUAAGGGUUGCGCUCGUUAUCGGACUUAACCGGACAUCUUACGACACGAGCUGACGACAGCCAUGCAGCACCUAUCACCGAGCCUCCGAAGAGGAGACCACAUCUCUGUGGCUGUCCCGGGAUGUUAAGGGUAGGUAAGGUUCUGCGCGUUGCUUCGAAUUAAACCACAUACUCCACCGCUUGUGCGGGCCCCCGUCAAUUCCUUUGAGUUUUAGCCUUGCGACCGUACUCCCCAGGCGGGAUACUUAAUGCGUUAGCUUUAGUACUCAGGAGGUUAACUUCCCGAACACCUAGUAUCCAUCGUUUACGGCGUGGACUAC
rnacentral:misc_RNA from 1 species